rnacentral:rRNA from 1 species
UGAUAAUUAUUUAAGGGCCGCAGUAUUUUGACUGUGCAAAGGUAGCAUAAUCAUUAGUCUUUUAAUUGAGGGCUUGUAUGAAUGAUUGGACGAGAUAUAAUCUGUCUCAUAAAAAUUUUUGUAGAAUUUUAUUUUUUAGUCAAAAAGCUAAAAUAUAUUUAAAAGACGAGAAGACCCUAUAGAUCUUUAUAAUUUGUUUAUAAUUUUUUUAUGGUUAUUUUUUAAAUUUAUAAAUUAAAUUAUUUUGUUGGGGUGACAAUGAAAUUUAAUAAACUUUCAUUAUUUUUAAAACAUUUAUUUAUGAAUAAUUGAUCCAUUAUUAAUGAUUAAAAAUUUAAGUUACCUUAGGGAUAACAGCGUAAUUAUUUUGGAGAGUUCUUAUCGAUAAAAUAGUUUGCGACCUCGAUGUUGGAUUAAGAUUAAUUCUGGGUGUAGCAGUUCAGUUUAUUAAGUCUGUUCGACUUUUAAUUUCUUACAUGAU